rnacentral:rRNA from 1 species
GGUUUUUUGGUUAAGUAUUUAAAGUUUGACCUGCCCAAUGAUGAGUUUAAUGGCCGCGGUAUUGUGACCGUGCAAAGGUAGCAUAAUCAUUAGUCUUUUAAUUAAGGGCUUGUAUGAAUGGUUGGACGAGGAGGGGACUGUCUUCAAAUGAAGUUUUGUAUUUGAAUUUUACUUUUAAGUGAAAAGGCUUAAAUGGUCUUGGGGGGCGAUAAGACCCUAUAGAUCUUUACAUUGUUAUGUUGUUAAGUUGUAAUGAUAUACGGUGUUGGGUUGGGGCGACAGGAAGAUAGGAAUAACUUUUUGGUUUAUAAGGUUACUGUUUUGUAUAUUAAGGAUCCACGGUUAUAGUGAUUAUGAGACUAAGUUACCUUAGGGAUAACAGCGUAAUCUUUUUUGAGAGUUCAUAUCGAGAGAAGGGAUUGCGACCUCGAUGUUGGAUUAAGGUUUCUUUGUGGNGUAGAAGCUACAAGGGAGGGUCUGUUCGACCUUUAAAUCCUUACA